CCAGUCACCACGACACCACCACUCUCUCUCAGUCCCUCUCACCGAGUCACGACCACCGACGAAGCUCAGUCUCGUCUUCUUCGUCGUUUUCUUCUACUCGUCUUCUUCAUCCCUAUUCGUAAUCCAAAUCCCAUAAGUAUCUGGAGAACACAAAAUUGAGAGAGAGUGAUCGGAGAGAGAGAGAGUUCGAUUCUUCUAGUAGUGGCGGCGACACGAAGAACAAGUCAAGAAGACGAGCCAGGAGGACGAUGAUCUACUCAGAUUUAUUUGUUUGGAGGAUGAAGAUUCAAAACACCGAAAACGGUGUCGGUCCGGCGUGCUCUUACAGUAAAAACAACAUCAAAAUUGUUCGAUUCAAAGAAGGGUAACGAUGAUUGUUAAAAACGUAGCUCUACAGUUUUUGAUGUAUGUCCGAGUCUCAUUCAGCAAAAAUCAUAGCCAUCGCAAGGCCACGAGAGAGUGAGAGAGAGAGCCAAAACAAGUCAAGAGGUGUUGAAACGAAACAGGUGUGUGUUAAUGUGUUCCAACCUUGACGACGACGUUGACUCAGAUCUUUCUUUUCAAGGACAGUACCAAGUCUAUUCAGACCUAUAACGGUUGCCGGAGGAAGGUGUGUGUUCGUAUUCCAACUCUCAUCUGAAUAUUUUGCCUUUACUCUGGCACGUCGUUCCAUUACUCACAAGCACUUAGUACGCUUCAGUAGUCCCCAUCCAUACGUGAGACUGCAAGUAUUUUGUUUUGUUGUUGCCGCUUCUCUAGAUGAUGGAGAUGUAUUUAUGGUGGUUCACUUCCUUCCCAUUGAUAUUUGGUUUUGUCUAUCUCCUUUAACCAAUACUUUUUUUUUUUUUUUUUGUUCUGAACUAUAAGGUGCUACUGAAGUGUGAGGGAUUAUGACCUAAACCAUGUAAUACUCCUCUUCUUUCUCUCUGUGUGUGUGUGCUCGUGUUCCAACCAGAAUGAUGCUUUUGUUUUUGAACAACAAGCUGUGUGUUCGUGUGUUUCAGCCAGAUUUUAUUGGAGGAUGAAGUAGAUUCAGUCCAAAAACGGUUACCGGAGGGCGUUCUUAAAUUAACAACAUCAAACUGAUUUUUAAAGGUGCGUGUUCGUGUGUUCCAAAACUAUAUUUUUUGGAGGAUGAAGUAGAUUCAGGCCAAAAACGGUUGGCGGCAGGCGUUUUUACAGUGACAACAUCAAACUGAGUUUAAUGGUGUGUGCGUGUUCGUGUUCCAUCUCUCAUCUGAAAUUUUUUUGCUUUACUCAGGCAAGGACAGUCGUUACAUUACUCACAAACACUCAGUACGUUCGCUUCACUAGUCCCCAUCUAUUCAGGAAAAAUUCAAGCCAUCACAAGUCAGAGAUGUGUGUGUGUGUGUGUUCCAACCGACAUUGACUCAGAUUUUUUCAAGGACAGUACGAAGUAUAUUCAGAUCGAAAACGGCUGCCGGAGAGCGUUCUUAAAGUAACAACAUCAAAUUAAUCGAUUAAAAACUUCUCUAGAUGACGAAGAUAUAUGGAGGUUCACUUUCUUCCCAUUGAUGUUAAGGAUGAUGGUGACUCAUGAACCCAAAUGAUGGAAAAUAAAUCCUCUUCUUAUUGCUCUUGUUAGGGAUUAUGACCAAGACCAUGGAAUACCCCUCUUCUUGCUCUGUGCUACUGAAGCGGAACUCGACAAGGCACCAGAAUUGUCUCGAGCCAAAGGCCGCAGUAAUCAUAAAAAUGUAUAAAGGGAAACGAGUGUUUAAUACUUAACUAGCACUAGCAAUAUGAUUCAUCAAAAUCAAAGCCAUCACAAGGAAAAAGCUAAAUAAUGGAAAAUUAUGACAUGUGAGCCAAUUAUUGUUUCAAAAUCAGCAAGGACUUCACCCCAUAGCACCAGCUUUUGCCUGCACCACAAAGAAGUUUCCAACAUCUGCCAUAAUUCAAGGGGCUUCAUCUUCAAACAAUUUCAUUGACUAAUCAUAAUGCAGAGACAUCUUCAAUAGCAGCUUCAACGGAAGUUUCUCAAGUGGAGAAUCAAAAUGUAGAACUCUGUGAUUACUUUGAGGAUUAUGAAAGUUUAGACUACCUGGUAUUUAUACUUUUAAGAGGGACAGUGAGACAGAGAGAGAGAGAGAGAUGGAGAGAGCAAACAGACCUGAAGUUGGAACUCCACAAGGCACCAUAAUUCAACGCAUAGCCUUUGAACAAAGAGGUGCUUGUCAUUGCCUCAUGUCAAAAAUUCCCUUCCACAGGUGCGUGUUCGUGUGUUCCAAAACCUUUUUUUUCUGGAUGAUGGAGUAGAUUCAGACGAAAAACGGUUGCCGGUGGGUGUUCUUACAGUAACGACAUCAUACUGAUUUUUAGAGGUAAACGAGUGUUAAUGACGUAGCACUGCAUAAUCAAAUGCAAAAGUUUAUGACCAAAUCUUCUUCUUGCUCUGAAUGAAUCAAAAGAGCGAUAAAAAAAAGUAUGGGAGGAGCAGUAGAAAACAGAAGUAUGGGAUGCAGCAUCACAAAUGCUCGUUGGGUUUGGAACGUGUCUAUGAUACAAUCAUUCAACGGCUAUAUUUUGACAUCGUCAAUUUUUUUACAUGGCGUCGUGAGUUAGCCUUGAGAGUGACGUAGAUGUUUACAUGACCGAAGAUAUUGUUGACUUCACACGAGAGGGAUUUAGGACGUAAAAUUACACAAUUCAUA